GACGAACGCUGGCGGCGUGCCUAACACAUGCAAGUCGAGCGGAGUCAGUAAGAGGAAGUUUUCGGAUGGAAUCUUGCUGGUUUAGCGGCGGACGGGUGAGUAACGCGUGAGCGACCAACCUUGCACAGGGGGAUAACGGACCGAAAGGUUCACUAAUACCGCAUGAGACCACGGUGUUGCAUGACACAGGGGUCAAAGGAGCAAUCCGGUGCAAGCCGGGCUCGCGUCCGAUUAGGUAGUUGGAGGGGUAACGGCCCACCAAGCCUAUGAUCGGUAGCGGACCGGAGAGGGGGAUCGGCCACAUUGGAACGGAGGUACGGUCCAAACUCCUACGGGAGGCAGCAGUGGGGAAUAUUGGGCAAUGGGGGAAACCCUGACCCAGCAACGCCGCGUGAAGGAAGAAGGUUUUCGGAUUGUAAACUUCUGUCCUUGGUGAAGAGAAGAAGACGGUAGCCAAGGAGGAAGCCCCGGCUAACUACGUGCCAGCCGCCGCCGUAA
rnacentral:rRNA from 1 species